UAUAAAAAAAUAUUUAAAAAGGGAGUCGGGCUGUAGCGCAGCGGGUUAUGUGCAGGUGGCGCUAAGCACAAGGACCCGCAUAAGGAUCCUGGUUCAAGCCCUGGCUCCUCACCUGCAGGGGUGUCGCUUCACAAGUGGUGAAGCAGGUCUGCAGGUGUCUAUCUUUCUCUCCCUCUCUCUGUCUUCCCCCUCCCCUCUCCAUUUCUCUCUGUCCUAUCCAACAACAAUGACAACAAUAAUAACUACAACAAUAAAACAACAAGGGCAACAAAAGGGAAUAAAUAAAUAAAAAUAAAUAUAAAAAAUAUUUUAAAAAAUAUGUGUUGUGGGGAGUCGGGCUGUAGCACAGCGGGUUAAGCGCAGGUGGCGCAAAGCACAAGGACCGGCAUAAGGAUCCCGGUUCGAACCCCGGCUCCCCACCUGCAGGGGAGUCGCUUCACAGGCGGUGAAGCAGGUCUGCAGGUGUCUAUCUUUCUCUCCUCCUCUCUGUCUUCCCCUCCUCUCUCCAUUUCUCUCUGUCCUAUCCAACAAUGACAACAACAACAAUAAUAACUACAACAAUAAAACAACAAGGGCAACAAAAGGGAAUAAAUAAAUAAAAUAAAUAUUUAAAAAA